UGAGGAACAUGACCUUCGGCGGGGGAUAGCCGGCCCAACGGCCGGGUAAUACCGCGUACGACCUUUCGGGGACAUCCCUGGAUGGUGAAAGCAGCAAUGCGCCGAUGGAGUGCCUCGCGGCCUAUCAGCUAGUUGGUGAGGUAACGGCUCACCAAGGCGACGACGGGUAGCUGGUCUGAGAGGAUGGCCAGCCACAUUGGGACUGCGACACGGCCCAGACUCCGUACGGGAGCAG
rnacentral:rRNA from 1 species